GGGAGUGAAAUAGAACCUGAAACCCUGCACUUACAAGCUGUGGAAGCACAUUUCUUGUGUGACCGCGUACUUUUUGUAGAACGGGCCAACGAGUUACGUUAAGUAGCAAGGUUAAGCACUUAAGGUGCGGAGCCGUAGCGAAAGCGAGUUUUAACUGAGCGUUCAGUUACUUGACGUAGACCCGAAACCGGGCGACCUACCCAUGAGCAGGAUGAAGCGAAAGUAAAAUUUCGUGGAGGUCCGAACCCACGAGCGUUGAAAAGCUCGGGGAUGACUUGUGGGUAGCGGUGAAAUUCCAAUCGAGCCCGGAGAUAGCUGGUUCUCCCCGAAAUAGCUUUAGGGCUAGCCUCAAGGUGAGAGAUACGGAGGUAGAGCACUGAAUGUCCUAGGGGGUAUUGCACCUACCGAAGACUAUCAAACUCCGAAUGCCGUCAUCUUAUACUUGGGAGUCAGACUGUGGGUGAUAAGAUUCAUAG
rnacentral:rRNA from 1 species